GCACGUUGUGACUUGUUGAAUGUUAUAUAGGGCAAGAAGUUUGUAAUUAUACAGAAUUACAGACUGUGAAUAUUGAAAACUGAAAAAGGUACGUGUUCAUAUCAUGUAUGCAGUGGUUGAAUUUGAGGAUAGAAAAUGUGCGGUGGUGCCUUUAAAUUGGCUCCUAGAAGAUCAGCAAAUGUGUUAUUGGCCAAGAGCUGCCACCCCACAACAGUUUGACAAAAUGAUUUCAACAUGCAAAGAACCACUACGUUCAUGGCCCAAGUAUAAAGUGAUCAACGUUACUGAUAUAAAAGCUGAUUACGAUGAUGCGAAUGCUUUACUUCAAAAGAUGAUCGAGGAGAGUUCUAGCUCCUCCGACUCAGGUAAUGCACAGCAGCCGCUACACGUUUUAGAAGUGAAUGUGAUAACUAAUGAUGUGAAAGAAAAAGA